GGGCCCGCACAAGCGGUGGAGUAUGUGGUUUAAUUCGAUGCAACGCGAAGAACCUUACCAGGGUUUGACAUCCUGCGAAUCUCUUGGAAACGAGAGAGUGCCUUCGGGAACGCAGUGACAGGUGGUGCAUGGCUGUCGUCAGCUCGUGUCGUGAGAUGUUGGGUUAAGUCCCGCAACGAGCGCAACCCUCAUCUUUAGUUGCCAUCGGUUAGGCCGGGCACUCUAGAGAAACUGCCUGCGAUGAGCAGGAGGAAGGCGGGGAUGACGUCAAGUCCUCAUGGCCCUUAUGGACUGGGCUACACACGUGCUACAAUGGCGGUGACAACGGGCAGCGAAGGGGUGACCUGGAG
rnacentral:rRNA from 1 species